rnacentral:siRNA from 1 species
AGGCACUUUUCAGGGAUGAGGCA